rnacentral:rRNA from 1 species
UACGGAGGGUGCGAGCGUUAAUCGGAAUAACUGGGCGUAAAGGGCACGCAGGCGGGCUGUUAAGUGGGGUGUGAAAUCCCCGGGCUUAACCUGGGAAUAGCAUUGGAGACUGGGAGUCUAGGGUCCUGUAGGGAGGGGUAGAAUUCCAGGUGUAGCGGUGAAAUGCGUAGAGAUGUGGAGGAAUACCGGAGGCGAAGGCAGCCCCUUGGGCAUGGACUGACGCUCAGGUGCGAAAGCGUGGGGAGCAAACAGG